GCCCUUCGUUCACCACCGCAGAAAGAACAGACAGGGAGCUUGUACUGCUCUAGGGGACUAUGGCUAAGGUAGCGCAUUCGUCGUCACCGUCGUCGCCAUCACCGCCAUCGCUGUCGGUGGUCAGAGUCUUCCAAAACAUGGACAUGGGUAUCAUUCUGGGUCAUCGGCACCUUCGGUGAUUACAAAACCAGUAUGCGCUUUUGAUAGGGGAAGAAAAGCAAGGAAAGCAUGUCGUAGUAAUAUUGGUGGGUGCGCCUGGAACCGGCAUGUCCACCUUUUGUGAACAUGUCAUGCGCUCCUCCUCCACUCUCCCUUAGGUACACGUUUGCAGGAUACUAUGAAAAAUGAUAAAGCUGAAACGAAAGUGCAUUGUAUAGCAAGAACAAAUGGAUGAGUUUGUGAAGCUUGGUGGUAGUGCCCAGGUUGAUGUUCAUGUUGU
rnacentral:sRNA from 1 species